rnacentral:rRNA from 1 species
CCUACGGGAGGCAGCAGUGGGGGAUAUUGGACAAUGGGGGGAACCCUGAUCCAGCGACGCCGCGUGAGUGAAGAAGUAUUUCGGUAUGUAAAGCUCUGUCAGCAGGGAAGAAAGCAAUGACGGUACCUGACCAAGAAGCCCCGGCUAACUACGUGCCAGCAGCCGCGGUAAUACGUAGGGGGCAAGCGUUAUCCGGAAUUACUGGGUGUAAAGGGAGCGUAGGCGGUUUAGCAAGUCAGAAGUGAAAGCCCGGGGCUCAACUCCGGGACUGCUUUUGAAACUGUUGAACUAGAUUGCAGGAGAGGUAAGUGGAAUUCCUAGGGUAGCGGUGAAAGGCGUAGAUAUUAGGAGGAACACCAGUGGCGAAGGCGGCUUACUGGACUGUAAAUGACGCUGAGGCUCGAAAGCGUGGGGAGCAAACAGGAUUAGAUACCCGAGUAGUC